rnacentral:rRNA from 1 species
GUGAGGAAUUUUCCGCAAUGGGCGAAAGCCUGACGGAGCAAUGCCGCGUGAAGGAUGAAGGCCUAUGGGUUGUAAACUUCUUUUCUCAGAAAAGAAUUAUGACGGUAUCUGAGGAAUAAGCAUCGGCUAACUCUGUGCCAGCAGCCGCGGUAAGACAGAGGAUGCAAGCGUUAUCCGGAAUGAUUGGGCGUAAAGCGUCUGUAGGUUGUUUAAAAAGUAUUCUGUCAAAGAUUAGGGCUUAACCCUAGAUAGGCAGAAUAAACUUUUAAGCUAGAGUUUGGUAGAGGCAGAGGGAAUUCCCGGUGGAGCGGUGAAAUGCGUAGAUAUCGGGAGGAACACCAAAGGCGAAGGCACUCUGCUGGGCCAAUACUAACACUGAGAGACGAAAGUGAGGGGAGCAAAUGGGAUUAGAAACCCUGGUAGUCC